rnacentral:rRNA from 1 species
GACGAACGCUGGCGGCGUGCUUAACACAUGCAAGUCGAACGGUGAAAGCGGAGCCUGCUCCGCUGGAUCAGUGGCGAACGGGUGAGUAACACGUGGGCAACCUGCCCCUCACUUCGGGAUAACUCCGGGAAACCGGGGCUAAUACCGGAUAUGACCUCCUUGGGCAUCCUUGGAGGUGGAAAGUUUUUCGGUGAGGGAUGGGCCCGCGGCCUAUCAGCUUGUUGGUGAGGUAGUGGCUCACCAAGGCGACGAGGGGUAGCCGGCCUGAGAGGGCGACCGGCCACACGGGGACUGAGACACGGCCCAGACGCCUACGGGAGGCAGCAGUGGGGAAUAUUGCGCAAUGGGCGAAAGCCUGACGCAGCAACGCCGCGUGCGGGAUGACGGCCUUCGGGUUGUAAACCGCUUUCAGCAGGGAAGAAGCCGCAAGGUGACGGUACCUGCAGAAGAAGCACCGGCUAACUACGUGCCAGCCGCCGCCGUAACAC